AUUGAACGCUGGCGGCAGGCCUAACACAUGCAAGUCGAGCGAGCGGCGGACGGGUGAGUAAUGUAUGGGGACUGCCCGAUAGAGGGGGGUAAAUACUUGAAACGGUAGCUAAUACCGCAUAUUAUCGGAUAACCCAUAUGGGAUUUGCUAGUUGGUGGGGUGAUGGCUCACCAAGGCUACGAUCCCUCGCUGGUCUGGCAGGAGGAGCAGCGACACUGGGACUUAGACACGGCCCAGACUCCUACGGAGGCAGCGGUGGGGAAGAUUGCACAAUGGGCGAAAGCCUGAUGCAGCCAUGCCGCGUGUAUGAAGAAGGCCCUAGGGUUGUAAAGUACUUUCAGUCGGUAGGCGUUACCGACAGAAGAAGCACCGGCUAACUCCGUGCCAGCAGCCGCGGUAAUAC
rnacentral:rRNA from 1 species